GCUGCGGGGAGGGGGACGUGCCCCACCGCCCCACUGCCUGCGAUGCCAAGCCCGAGGUCAUCGUCAAGGUGGAGCCGGAGGAGGAGUCGUUCCCGGGGUGCACCCGAGCUCUGGGUGACCCAGGAGCUGCCGGCCACCGCGGCGGCGCAGGCGGUGAGCAGCGUCCCAAGGAGGAGCCGGAG